rnacentral:rRNA from 1 species
CCUACGGGAGGCAGCAGUGGGGAAUAUUGGGCAAUGGGCGCAAGCCUGACCCAGCAUCGCCGCGUGAAGGAAGAAGGCUUUCGGGUUGUAAACUUCUUUUCUCAGGGACGAAGCAAGUGACGGUACCUGAGGAAUAAGCCACGGCUAACUACGUUCCAGCAGCCGCGGGAAUACGUAGGUGGCAAGCGGUAUCCGGAUUUACUGGGUGUAAAGGGCGUGUAGGCGGGAAAGCAAGUCAGAUGUGAAAACCAUGGGCUCAACCUGUGGCCUGCAUUUGAAACUGUUUUUCUUGAGUACUGGAGAGGCAGACGGAAUUCCUAGGGUAGCGGUGAAAUGCGUAGAUAUUAGGAGGAACACCAGUGGCGAAGGCGGUCUGCUGGACAGCAACUGACGCUGAGGCGCGAAAGCGUGGGGAGCAAACAGGAUUAGAUACCCUAGUAGUC